AGAGUAUUAAGAUACUUUGUGUUGUCCUU
rnacentral:piRNA from 1 species